UUUUUUUUUUUUUUUUUUUUGAGAUGGAGUCUCAUUCUGUUGCUCAGGCUGGAGUGCAAUGGUGCCAUCUUGACUCACUGCAACCUCUGCCUCCCGGGUUCGAGCAAUUCUCCUGUCCCAGCCUCCAGGGUAGCUGAGACUACAGGCGCACGUCAGGAAGCCUGGCUAAUUUUCACAUUUUUUAGUAGAGAUGGGGUUUCACCACAUUGGUCAGGCUGGUCUGGAACUCCUGGCCUCAGAUGGUCCACCCACCUGACCUCCCAAAGUGCUGGGAUUACAGGCAUGAGCCACCAUGCCCAGCCCUUGUUUUUUUUUUCAGAUGGUAAACUAAAAGGAAAUAAAAUUGUAACCUCAGCAGGUGCCAUAAUUCUUUCUUGGCUUAUAGUUUCUGAAAGGUGUAGAAAUGAUUACAUAUUUAUCCAUGAGUUCCAAAUUGCCCCUCUAAUUCAAGUCAUUAGAACUUUCUUCCACCUACGACUCAUUUGAACUCUUUUUCGUUAAAAGUCAUGUCCAAGAGUCAGCUCGAAUGUCAUAUUAUUUGGUCAUUCCAGCUUUCCUCCUGAGUCUUGUAACCCUGAUUAUCAUUAGUGCUGUGUAUAGUUCUGUCCACUUGUCUCCUUUUCUUAUCCAGUAGUUCUUAGAGGUCAUCAACUGUGCUAUUUUUGUUGUUUUCACAUUGCUUAUACAUUGUGGAGGUUGAAUACAUUUAUUCAUUUUUAACAAAUGUUCAAUGUGCUCUUACUAAAGCUUGGCAAUGACCUAGAUCAAAGGUUUGCCAGCUAUGGUCAGUGGGCCAAAUCCAGCCCAUGGACUGGAGCUAAAAUGUUGUUUAUAUCUUUAAAGGGUUGUAAAAACAAAGAAGAAUAUACAGCAGACACCAUAUGUAGCCCACAAAGCUUAAAAUAUUUGCCAUCUGGCCCUUUACAAGGAAAAUGUUGCUGGCCCUUGUUCCAGAUGCUGAGGAUAUACCAGUGAACAAAACCAACAACAACAACAAAAAUCCCUGCCUUCAGAGAGCAUAAAUUCUAUUUUUUUACAACAAUUUUAUGCAGAAUAGGCAUCUUUGUUACUUGCACAAUAUUUACAUAUAGCACAUACUCAGUAUUUGCGAAAUGAAUGAAUAAGUCAUAAAUAGAGUCCAUCAUCCAAUAUUUUAUGAUAUUGGCAAGUAUUUCAAUAUGAUGUAAUAAAAUGUUGCAUUUUAAAAAUCUUUAUAUGAAUAAUUUUUCCCUAGAUAAUUUGUAGACCAAAAACUCAAACACUACUUACUUGUCAAGACAUUUUAUUCUGGUACUUAAUAAUGAUUUCCCAUCUUAAUGUAACUUUUAUUCAUGAUGAGGUCCUGAUUAUCUAGUCUCCUUAUGAGAGGUAAUCAUAAUUAUAUUUGAUUCUGAAAGCUUUCUGAAAUGGUGAUUCUUUCAUAAGAGAUCAUUUUGUAUACGUGACAGUUAAAACAAUGAGUGAGUUUUUCAGAGUUUCUAUCCUUGAAUUCUACAAGUUUGUGAUGUUUAUAACUUGAAUUCAGAUAAAACCAUUUUGUUCCACAUUUGAAAAGACAGUCUUUUGCAUUAGACUCAGAGUUGACUAAAAUUAUGGCAACUUUUCAUAAAGUUAGGCUGUAGAUGUACCUAAUUCCCCCACAGAGCCUACAGCCCUCUGAAAGUGCUGAUAGAAUACUGGGGAUGGGUCAGAGAGUGCUGAGAGGAGAGUGGAAGGGAAGAAGGGACAAAGGGAAAGGAAUUCAGAAGUGGAAAGAGUUGGAUUGGUAGAGCCAGCAGAUGGUGUUGGUAAUAAAGAAGAUUAUGUGACUUCUUUCUCUAACCCAUGAGUGUCAAAGUUCUCCACUCAGUGCCAUGUCUCCAUCCCAUUACCCCCACCUAAAUAAGUUAUCUCUUCUAACACCCAUCUAUCGCCACACCAAACCAUCAUUACCACCAAGCAAUUUCCUGUACUGUCCUUUAUCUUUUAAAUAUUCAAAAUUAGAAGUAAAUCAGAUGUGAGAGCUAAAAAGAAAAAUUACAUGACUUUUUAUUUAUCUCCACUGGUCUUUUAAUCUGGGCUGUCCUUACUCCUUGUAGACUAUACACUGCAUCUUAGAUACUACACUGCUAUUAGUCUAAAUACUUUGCUUUAUUAAGGAACUGCUCAUUUCUUAUUCCUUGCAUAGAUUUAGGGUUGAUAAAAUGAGAGUUUAAAAUGCAGUAACAGAGAAUCUUAAUUAUAAAUGAAGGAAAUUGAAACAUACUACUGUAUGUGCUGAUUUACUUUCAGAUUCUUGACCUUUGUCAAGACUAAUGAGAUUACACAUCUAGUAUAGAGAAUGGAUAGAAAUUUUAAUAGACCUGCCUAAUUUACAUUGUUAGGAAUUCCGUAAAACUGAGAGUUAUGCCAGCAAACCUACAUGUGCUGUCUUUUGAAUUGCAUUUCUCCCCACCACCAGCCCACCCUCAUUCCCUGAUAUCUGUGGUUAGUACAUAUGAAGUCAUUACUUACAUUAUGAAGUGACAAACAUAGGAAACCAUGGCUUUCUUCUCUGAAUGCAGAUAACUCAUAUCCAUCAAAGUUUCUAAUUUACAGAGCUUUCCUUUGGAGGAGGCUAGAAUGCUGAGUAACGAUGAAAAAGCAACAUUUGUUAAAUCUGAUUUGGCACAGUACUUGUUUCUGUACAAAGCAGUCUUUCGUAAUACCAGCUUGAAUCUAACUAUUUCUCUUAUGUAGUAUGGGGGAAAGAAAUAUCUUUUCUUCCUGUCUUAGGUUCAUAGCUGGGGCCCCUUAACAGAAAAAAAAAAA
ensembl:lncRNA